rnacentral:rRNA from 1 species
GACGAACGCUGGCGGCGUGCCUAAUACAUGCAAGUCGAGCGGACGAAUCGAAAGCUUGCUUUUGAUUCGUUAGCGGCGGACGGGUGAGUAACACGUGGGCAACCUGCCCUGUAGACGGGGAUAACACCGAGAAAUCGGUGCUAAUACCGGAUAACACGAAAUGUCGCAUGACGUUUCGUUGAAAGACGGCGCAAGCUGCCGCUCCAGGAUGGGCCCGCGGCGCAUUAGCUAGUUGGUGAGGUAACGGCUCACCAAGGCGACGACACGUAGCCGACCUGAGAGGGUGAUCGGCCACACUGGAACUGAGACACGGCCCAGACUCCUACGGGAGGCAGCAGUAGGGAAUCUUCCGCAAUGGACGAAAGUCUGACGGAGCAACGCCGCGUGAGCGAAGAAGGCCGUCGGGUCGUAAAGCUCUGUUGUUAGGGAAGAACAAGUAACGCAGUAACUGGCGUUACCGUGACGGUACCUAACGAGAAAGCCACGGCUAACUACGUG